rnacentral:tRNA from 1 species
GGUGGGUUGGCCCAGUGGUUAGAGCGUAGGUCUCGUAACCAAAAGUCGCGGGAUCGAAUCCCGCUAGAGGCUG